AUUGAACGCUGGCGGCAUGCCUUACACAUGCAAGUCGAACGGCAGCACGGGGGCAACCCUGGUGGCGAGUGGCGAACGGGUGAGUAAUACAUCGGAACGUGUCCUUUCGUGGGGGAUAACCAGUCGAAAGACUGGCUAAUACCGCAUGAGAUCGUAAGAUGAAAGCGAGGGACCGCAAGGCCUCGCGCGAUUGGAGCGGCCGAUGUCGGAUUAGCUAGUUGGCGGGGUAAAAGCCCACCAAGGCGACGAUCCGUAGCUGGUUUGAGAGAACGACCAGCCACACUGGGACUGAGACACGGCCCAGACUCCUACGGGAGGCAGCAGUGGGGAAUUUUGGACAAUGGGCGCAAGCCUGAUCCAGCCAUGCCGCGUGUGUGAAGAAGGCCUUCGGGUUGUAAAGCACUUUCGGCCGGAACGAAAUCGCCUUCGUUAAUAGCGGAGGUGGAUGACGGUACCGGAAGAAGAAGCACCGGCUAACUACGUGCCAGCAGCCGCCGUAACAC
rnacentral:rRNA from 1 species